AACGAACGCUGGCGGCAUGCCUAACACAUGCAAGUCGAACGAGCCCUUCGGGGCUAGUGGCGCACGGGUGCGUAACGCGUGGGAACCUGCCCUUAGGUUCGGAAUAACUCCCCGAAAGGGGUGCUAAUACCGGAUAUUGCCUUCGGACCAAAGAUUUAUCGCCUUUGGAUGGGCCCGCGUUGGAUUAGCUAGUUGGUAGGGUAAAAGCCUACCAAGGCGACGAUCCAUAGCUGGUCUGAGAGGAUGAUCAGCCACACUGGGACUGAGACACGGCCCAGACUCCUACGGGAGGCAGCAGUGGGGAAUAUUGGGCAAUGGGCGAAAGCCUGAUGCAGCCAUGCCGCGUGAGUGAUGAAGGCCUUAGGGUUGUAAAGCUCUUUCACCCGGGAUGAUAAUGACGGUACCCGGAGAAGAAGCUCCGGCUAACUCCGUG
rnacentral:rRNA from 1 species